ACAACUAAUACCAUUCAUAGGAAGAUAGGAGUGCCACUGUGCUUAGUAGAGAGACCACAUAGGGUAACCAUGAGUGUCCACCAAAGUCUGCUAAAUAGUUAGAUACUGUUAUACUUGCAACAGUGUUGUGAUCCAGAAUGUUAUUUUGUCUUACAAACAAUUUUACACCAUUUAAGUUGCACACAUGGAACUUGCUAUGGUGUCAGUCUCGAAGGACAAGGUACAGGCGUUUGGCUGAAGAUCUUGGAAGAGACUAUUGCGCACUUUGCGUGAAACAACCAGCUCUUGAAAAUGGGUGCGGGAUGUGCACACAUUGUCUAUUCUGAAAUGGUUAAAACAAUUCGCAUGCAGCGGCCAGUCUCAAACGACGACUUCUGACUGAUGCAUAAAGGUGUGGGAGCUGCACAUAUCGGCCAACUGCACAUGAAACAAGGGAAUCCGACAAGUCGUGAAGUUAUGCAGAUAACACCGCAUCCGAGAAAGAAUUUGUUACCCAUCACCCCUGACUCAACCCAAUACGGCUUUGAAAAAGCACAGCCUGUGAGGCAGUUUGGGCACUUCCCUUUGGACAACAGCCCUGAGACCAAUAUAAAUCUGACAAUAACUGACUAAUUAACACAAUAGACAACAAUACAGUUUCUUCCGGAGUUUUACUGACUUUGUGAGUACUAAAUCCAACCAACAUCUCCUCUGCAGUAGCAUAGAGCCAGCAAGCUCCCUUCCUUUCCCAGCUAUGGCUCCCCCUAGCCGUGCUUCCAUAUUUCCUUGUUUAUGCACAGCAUAAUGGCCUGACCCUCCCUUCUCUAUAACAUUAUACAGACACCACCUAGCACCUGAAAACCUCAAUUUUUCUGGAUAUAUUUUGAGAUUAGAGUCUCAAUAUACCCCAUAUUCAUCCAAUGGCACCCUAACCAUAGUGGAACAUAGCUUUUCUUACCUUUACAAAGGGCCUCUCUCUAUACCUCUCUCUCUCCAAAGUCCCAACCUCGAUAGCCUCCUUCUUCUUCCCAGAAAUCCCUGCAAAAGGGGCACUUCCAUGUAAGUUGAAUGUGUAGGGGUGCUCAUUUUGGACUCAACCAUUACUGUAAAAUACAGAAGUCCCCAGAUGCUCAGUAAGGGCCUAUUUGGGUACAUAGUCCCACAGGCACCAACAUGUCCCUUUCAAACGGUAUGCCACUGGCCCUAUAGCAAAUAACCCUCCCCUAACUCCCUCUGUCCUCCCCCCCAAUGGCUUUCACAUCAUAUGGCCCAUCCACCAGUCAUACAGCCAGUACUGAGAAGCAAUUGUCACUUGCUGCACAAAUGAGCUCUCAGAGAGUUUACACUGGGUUUUUGUGGAUACACCAUGCCUUGGGGCCUCUUAGAGUGGCCCAAAAUCAUUGCUAGGGGGUAUUUUGGACACACAGAGACCCCGUUUUAUUGAAACAGACCAUUUGAAUGCAGAGGAAAAUAUUAUGGUGUGAAUAUGAUGCAAUCAAGCAAAAAGAGAGCAUUGUCUCCAAGUGUCCCUCUCCAAAAGUGCAGAGAUGUAUCCACUGGGACAAGGAGCUUUCCACUCACACAAUGAGAAGGUAAUUAAGCUCCUGAAGUUUAAAAUGUAAUUUUUAUGAAUGUUUUUCUUCAUAUAUUACUAAACAAAUCAUCAUUUUAAGGGGUGGCGGAUGACAAAUGCCAAUUUUGGCGUCCGUGCUUUGAAGCCCAACAGGUAAGCUCACUAAUUGACAGGACACAUUGCAGUGCAUAAGGUAAGGACUUCAAUCUUGUUCAAAACUAUAUGUAUAUAUUUAAAUAAAAUAUUUAUUUAAAAUAUUUUAAGAUGUCAUAUAUCAAUGGUGUAUCGUCUCAAACUGAAUAUUUACCAUAUAGUCUACAAUGUACACCUACCACUUUAUUAUAAUAUUUUAUUCAGCACUAGCCUAUACUAGCCUACCGUUGAGAGCAUGGUCCUGAAACAAGAUAACAUGAUGUUUUUAAAAUAAACUUAUCAUAAAAUGAACAAAACAUAGCGUAGCAGUUUAAGACUGGACUGAACCAAAUUUGAUAUAGCCUACCUGAAUAAGCAGCUAUAUUUCAGGAUCUGACAGUAGGCAUCAUCAAGACAUGACAUGAGUAUGCUUUCAACAUUUCCAAUGUUUUAAAACCAAACACUAAAACCUUGUCUUAUUUCACAGUAUUUCCAAAGUAGAAGUGGUAUGAAAAACAAAUGCCAGUAUUUGGUUUCCUGCGAGUCCAGACUUGAGAUGAUCUUUGUCCUAAAACAAUAAGCCCCCAAACCAGUCAUCAACUGCCCAAAGCAAAAGCAGAUCAAUCCCAACCUUCAGUAUCAAAAUAUAGCGUAAAACGUGGUCUUCAUUUUAAAACCUUGAAUAACAAACGCCUAAACACCUGCCCAGAACGAAUCUCGGCACUACAGCACAGAUAUGCUAUUUAAAAUGAAUCAUGUAUUCGUAAACAAUGUUAAAUUAUAUUUAAUCGAAUAAAAAUGAGACACUAGGUGCAUUCAGAAUAUGGAGACAGGCUUCAGCGCAGGACUGGAGAUGUCAGCUGCUGGCGCGCGCCUGUCGCGUUUGUUCACGAGAACAGCUGCAGCUGUCUGGCUAGAAUAGAGCACAUUUGUGAGCGGAAUAAGCACCAAUAACAGAAAAUAACUGGCCAUUUAUCUUAACAGUAGCCAAUAGCCAUGGUGGUAGUAAGCUUCAUAUUUUAGUUGUCUGACGGCGGUUUGAAUGCGUAAAUAUUUACAUGUAGGCCUACACAAACAUGGACGUUGCGAAAGAUAGACGCCCUUGUUGAUGGGGGUUUGUUUGCACACAGGUAGACCAUUGCAUGGGCUACAAGGGAAACGCUAACCUAAAUACCGGUGCAUACUAUUCGACAAAUUAGGCCUCUUAUAAGAGCAUAUGAUUUGAGCAUUUUACAUUUUAAACCAUUCCUUCUAGCUACCUAAAGUUGAAGUAUGCAUAAGGGAUUAAUGCAAGGCUAAAUGUCGCCUUUCACUAUAAGUCCUAACACAUAUCAAUAAAAUCAAUCAAUAUCUGCAGUGUAACAGUAUCGCAUUCCCAUAAUGACAUGAGGCAGUGCAGAGCAUGCUAUGUGGCUACGCUAUGUUAUGCGUGCGUAAAACACGCGCCAACGUCACUACGCUUCUACAUUGGAACAGAGCAUAUGGAUGAAAUACAGUAAUGAAUGAAUGCCUUCACUUUUGUUUAAUUAAUGUUCUUUAUAAUGUUGUAAUUUUUGAAUAUCUGUACUAUUUAUCAGGGGGGUCAUGUACUCCAAAAAUAUGAGGGGCACAAAGUAUGUGAGGAUGGCUUGGGGGUGGUCAGGAGGGGAACUUGGGUCCUGUUCAUUAGUUGGAGAAUUUGGAAUUUUUCAAACACAUUACACAUAUUUGUCUUGCCAUCUAAAGCCAUAAUCAUUAUGCUUAAUUCUAUGUUAAACACUUUUGUUUUUCUGCAUAUCUAAGCAUACCUUUUGAGCUGUCUGUAUCCUCCUGAUUAGUGGUUAUUCUUUAAAGAAACUAAAUAUGCUUCUCUGCAUCUCUGCUAAAAUAUGGGUAAAAUAUUGAAAGGAAUGUGAGUCUUAUUCAGUACAUUUAGUUAUUGCUUGCUUUUCUAAAGUCUACCGAUCUUGCCAGCAGGCAUGUCAGCGAAGAUGAUAGUUAGACAAGCUAGCUACUCUAACUUGAUUGAUUGCCUCAACCUAUCUGGGAUAGCUAAAGCCAACAUAAAAUUGCUAGGUUGCUAGUAGUAUUGAAUUGUUUUAUUAAAUUCAGAUUGUGUGUCACUGAUCUACACAGAAUACCCCAUAAUAUCAAAGUGGAAUUGUGUUUUUAGAAAUGUUAACGAAUUAAUAAAAAAUUAAAAGCUGUCUUGAGUCAAUAAGUAUGCAAUCUUUUUGUUAUGGCAAGCCUAAAUAAGUUGAGAAGUAAAAAUGUGCUUAAUUAACAAGUCACAUAAUAAGUUGCCUGGACUCGCUCUGUAUACAAUAAUACUGUUUAACAUGACUACUCCAUCUCUGUACCUCACACAUACAAUUUUCUGUAAGGUCCCUAAGUCGAGCAGUGAAUUUCAAGCACAGAUUCAACUACAAAGACCAGGUAGGAUUUUCUGUGUUUUGCAAAGAAGGGCACAUAUUGGUAGAAGGGUAAAAAAAACUGACAUUGAGCAUUGUGCAGUUAUUAAUUGUACACAUUAGAUGAUGUAUCAAUACACCCAGUCACUACAAAGAUACAGGCAUCCUUCCUAAAUCAGUUGCCGGAGAGGAAGGAAACCACUCUUGGAUUUCACCAUGAGGCCAAUGGUGACUUUAAAACAAUAACAGAGUUUAAUGGCUGUGAUAGGAGAUAACUGAGGAUGGAUCAACAACAUCGUUACUCCGCAAUAGUAACAUAAAUUACAGAGUGAAAAGAAGGAAGUCUGUACAGAAUAACAAAUAUUCCAAAACAUGCAUCCUGUUUGCACUAAAGUAGCUGUAUCAUGUUAUUGUUUGGAAAUAACUAGGGAGUUUUUUUAGUAUAAAAAGAAACGGAAUAGAACUAAGCACAGGCAAAAUCCUUGAGGAAAACCUGGUUCAGUCUGCUUUCCAACAGACACUGGGAGACAAAUUUAAAUUUCUACAGGGCAAUAAUCUAAAACACAAGGCCAAUUAUGCACUGGAGUUGCUUACCAAGACAUCAUUGAAUGUUCCUGAGUGGCUUAGUUACAGUUUUGACUUAAAUCAUCACCUUGAAAAUCUAUGGCAAGACUUGAACAUCGCAGUCUAGCAGUGAUCAAUAACCAACUUGACAGAGCUUGACACAUUUUUUAAAGAAUAUUGAGCAAAUAUUGCACAAUCCAGGUGUGCAAAUCUCUUAGAGGCUUUCCCAGAAAGACUCCCAGCUGUAAUCACUGCCAAAGGGGAUUCUAACAUGUAUUGACUCAGGGAGUUUAAUACUUAUCUAAUCAAGAUAUAAUAGUGUUUUAUUUUCCAUUAAUACAAAAUAUAUAUACUUUUUCUUCCACUGACAUAACAUGGUAUUUUGUGUAUAUCAUUAACCAAAAAAUGACAAUGAAAUCAAUUUGAAUCCCACUUUGUAACAAAACAAAAUGUGGAAAAAGUUGAGUGUGAAUACCAUCUGAAGGCACUGUAUAUACUGUAUAUAAUGUAAAUAUCUUUAAACAGGACAAAUCUGAGGGGGGCAUGUGCCCCUGUGACCCCUUUGGGCAUGACACCUCUGCUAUUUAUGUUUGUGUUAUUGUUAUAAUAAACAAUGGGAAAAUAAAUACAUCAGAGCAAUAUUUCAGGGUAAGGUUCUUCUGUCCAUGAUAUGCCAUAAAUGUUGAUGUUUCUAUGUUCAUUUAUAUGUUUUCUAUAAACACUAGGGCUAGGCAAUGGAAGAUGGAGCCUAUAUGCAAUAGAUUAUUACAAAUGACAUAGACUGGCUAUACUGUAUGCUGCUUUAGUGACGAUAUUCAAUGCAACAUUGUACAGAGAGUUGUUUUGUCAAUAAAAUGUAAUAUUUCAAGA